rnacentral:lncRNA from 10 species
GCCAGACCAUGCCCACCACUGCCAUGCUUGCAAAACGGGUCACCACGGCCUGUAGGUGAGCAGUUGUGUAGGAGAAAAGAAUCCAAUUUUUUUGUGUGCUCUUUACUAUUAUGUAGACAGCUCCGUCUUCAGCCCACACUUUGGUUCCCUGUGGAUUUCAGUUUGUGUCCUGUGUCUGAGGACAGCGGACUGAAUACAGUGAUUUUUUACCUCCAAUAAAUGUCAUCCCGCUGCCCUUCCUGUGCCUCGAGGGUUGUCUGUUUUUCUCUUUC